UCCGCGUUUUGCGCGGCAGUCCUCUGUGACACUUGUAACACAGAGCAGGGGUUGCGUUUGUUACCCCACUUAAGGGAGCGCCUCACGGCACAAACUGACGACAGCCAUGCAGCACCUGUCCAGCCGCCAUGAAUGGAAACCUUCCUUUCGGAAAGCGUUCGUCUGGAUGUCAAGCCCUGGUAAGGUUCUUCGCUUAUCGUCGAAUUAAACCACAUGCUCCACCGCUUGUGCGAGUCCCCGUCUAUUCCUUUGAGUUUUAAUCUUGCGAUCGUACUUCCCAGGCGGGACACUUAACGCGUUAGCUUCGCCACUUGAAGGGUCGACACUUCAAACAGCUAGUGUCCAACGUUUACGGCUAGGACUAC
rnacentral:misc_RNA from 1 species